UACGUAGGGGGCAAGCGUUGUCCGGAAUCAUUGGGCGUAAAGAGCGUGUAGGCGGCCCUCUAAGUCCGCUGUGAAAGUCCAGGGCUCAACCCUGGGAUGCCGGUGGAUACUGUCGGGCUCGAGUCCGGAAGAGGAGUGUGGAAUUCCGGGUGUAGCGGUGGAAUGCGUAGAGAUCCGGAGGAACACCGGUGGCGAAGGCGGGACUCUGGGCCGAUACUGACGCUGAGGAGCGAAAGCGUGGGGAGCAAACAGG
rnacentral:rRNA from 1 species